rnacentral:rRNA from 1 species
GCCCGUCACACCAUGGGAGUUGGUUUUACCCGAAGGCGCUGUGCUAACCGCAAGGAGGCAGGCGACCACGGUAGGGUCAGCGACUGGGGUGAAGUCGUAACACGGUAGCCGUAGGGGAACCUGCGGCUGGAUCACCUCCUUUCUACGGAAGC